ensembl:lncRNA
GUGUAAUGGCAGUGGAGUAAGCAUUCAUGUGUGGAAGAAGAUUGGAAACGUGUUUCCAGGGGAACAAGGAACAGAAAUUGCCCACUGAAAACGAACAACAUCUGAAAUGGUUUGAUUUGCACAGGAUUAACAUUGUCAGGGGACGUCUGUCAUUGCAGAAAUAUGGCAGAUCAUUUUCUGUGGAUUUUUUUACAGAUUCAGAAAGUAUUAAAAUCACUGUGCACAAUUAUCAUAAAUUAACGCACGUCCAUAGGAAAUGUUUGUGCUGUGCCGACAGGCCUCUUCUGUCACUCUUCUCACACUCACACACACACAGUCAAUGUGUUUAAAUGAAGACAAUGUCAGGCUGCCAAUAUUAUUUUUAUUAACUUCCUGAAUCCUGAUUUCUACUUAAAUUCAUGUAAAGUUGAAAAAAAUAUUAAUAAACUUUCAACACAUACUCCCACAGCACUGAAACAUCGACAGCAACUUACAGUAUCUACACUAUGUACUUUCUUGUCCUUACUGACUGCCCGUCACUCUCCCACAUGACACACACGAGUGCUUUGAGGGUCCGUGUAUGUUUUGGUCAUUGGAUUUUCCUUUCAGAAACGAGUAUUAAAAAACAGAAAACGAGUGGUUAUUUGAUUUUCGUUUUAAAAUACAAAAAUUAAAAUUGAAAUACAAGGCGUUUUUCUUUUUCAUGGUCAAAAAGGGAUGAGCGAAAUUAAAAAAAUGAUUCGAUUUUCAUUUUCUAUUUCAUAUAACAAAAAAUAAAAUCACUAGAAAACAGAAACGGAGAAAAGACCUGUUUUUUCAUAUUCUGAGACCGGAUGUUGUCAUUUACAGGACGGUGCUGUGUAGAAGAAACAGUAGACUAGUAGACUGUGGUCAAUCUGAGCAAUGUGUUUUUACAGUACCUCAAAUAUGGUCAAAUAUGCAAUCUCUGGAGGCAUAAAUAUGAGGCUUUUAUUUUGGCAUUUCUCCACACUGGUGCAGUAAAGAUACUUGAUAUAAAGUGUUUUUUUAUUCAUCAGGGGCGCAUGAAACACUUUAAUGUAACAUAUUUUAAUUAUAGCUUACUGUUCUAAAUACCUUUAUUUUGAAAACCGGAAGUAAAUACUGCGUUUCUCCGCAUUUACCAUAAUGCUGAGAAUACUUGUACACUCUAAAUUUAAGUGUGGCUGAUUUGACCACGGAGAUCGAACUCACGGCUGGAUUGACCGCAGUCUACUAGUCUACUGUUUCUUCUACACAGCACCGUCCUGUAAAUGACAACAUCCGGUCUCAGAAUAUGAAAAAACAGGUCUUUUCUCCGUUUCUGUUUUCUAGUGAUUUUAUUUUUUGUUACAUGAAAUAGAAAAUGAAAAUCGAAUAAUUUUUUUAAUUUCGCUCAUCCCUUUCUGACCAUGAAAAAGAAAAACGCCUUGUAUUUCAAUUUUAAUUUUUGUAUUUUAAAACGAAUAAUCAAAUAACCACUCGUUUUCUGUUUUUUAAUAUCCGUUUCUGAAAGGAAAAUCCAAUGACCAAAACAUACACGGACCCUACUUACUUAGUGGUAAGAUUUUACAGACAAAACAAAUAAAUUAAUAAAUUAAAUAUGACUUUC